rnacentral:rRNA from 1 species
GACGAACGCUGGCGGCGUGGAUUAGGCAUGCAAGUCGAACGGUAUCAUCCUUUCGGGGGUGAGAGAGUGGCGAACUGGUGAGUAACACGUAGGUUAUCUACCCUCAAGACGGGGACAACCCAGGGAAACUUGGGCUAAUACCGGAUGUGAGCAACUUUUAGUUGUUUGAAAGGUGGCGUAAGCUGUCGCUUGGGGAUGAGCCUGCGUCCUAUUAGUUAGUUGGUGAGGUAACGGCUCACCUAGGCAAUGAUAGGUAGGCGGCCUUAACGGGUGGUCGCCCACACUGGGAUUGAGAUACGGCCCAGACUCCUACGGGAGGCAGCAGUCGAGAAUAGUCUACAAUGGUCGGAAGACUGAUAGUGCGACGCCGCGUGAACGAUGAAUCCUUCGGGUGUAAGUUCUUUUAUAUGUGAGCAGUGCUUCUUAUAUUAACAGUAUGGGGAGAGAGAUAUUAGCAUAUGAAUAAGCAACGGCUAACUCCGUGCCAGCAGCCGCGGUAAACUCG